GAUUCCGUAGCUCAGCUGGGAGAGCGCUACCUUGACAGGGUAGAGGUCGCUGGUUCGGUUCCAGUCGGAAUCA
rnacentral:tRNA from 1 species